AUUGAACGCUGGCGGCAUGCUUUACACAUGCAAGUCGAACGGUAACAGGGUGCUUGCACCGCUGACGAGUGGCGAACGGGUGAGUAAUGCGUCGGAACGUGCCGAGUAGUGGGGGAUAACGCAGCGAAAGUUGUGCUAAUACCGCAUACGUACUGAGGUAGAAAGUGGGGGACCUUCGGGCCUCACGCUAUUCGAGCGGCCGACGUCUGAUUAGCUAGUAGGUGAGGUAAAGGCUCACCUAGGCGACGAUCCGUAGCGGGUCUGAGAGGAUGAUCCGCCACGCUGGGACUGAGACACGGCCCAGACUCCUACGGGAGGCAGCAGUGGGGAAGUUUGGACAAUGGGCGAAAGCCUGAUCCAGCCAUGCCGCGUGUCUGAAGAAGGCCUUCGGGUUGUAAAGGACUUUUGUCAGGGAGGAAAUCCCUAGCGUUAAUACCGCUGGGGGAUGACAGUACCUGAAGAAUAAGCACCGGCUAACUACGUGCCAGCCGCCGCGGUAAUAC
rnacentral:rRNA from 1 species